ACGAACGCUGGCGGCAGGCUUAACACAUGCAAGUCGAGCGCCCCGCAAGGGGAGCGGCAGACGGGUGAGUAACGCGUGGGAAUCUACCCAGCUCUACGGAAUAACUCAGGGAAACUUGUGCUAAUACCGUAUACGUCCGAUAGGAGAAAGAUUUAUCGGAGUUGGAUGAGCCCGCGUUGGAUUAGCUAGUUGGUGGGGUAAUGGCCUACCAAGGCGACGAUCCAUAGCUGGUCUGAGAGGAUGAUCAGCCACACUGGGACUGAGACACGGCCCAGACUCCUACGGGAGGCAGCAGUGGGGAAUAUUGGACAAUGGGCGCAAGCCUGAUCCAGCCAUGCCGCGUGAGUGAUGAAGGCCCUAGGGUUGUAAAGCUCUUUCACCGGUGAAGAUAAUGACGGUAACCGGAGAAGAAGCCCCGGCUAACUUCGU
rnacentral:rRNA from 1 species